UUACGGCCAUAUCACGUCGAAAUACUAGCUCCCGUACGAUCACCGAAGUUAAGCAACGUUGAACCAGGUUAGUACGUCAUCUGAGUGACUGCUUGGCAAUACCAGAAGCCGUAAG